rnacentral:tRNA from 1 species
GUUUUUGUCGUCCAAUGGAUAGGACACCAGUCUCCGGAACUGGCAAUCUGGGUUCGAGUCCCAGCAGAAACGCCA